CUAAGCUCCCGUCCCCAUCUCCCAAAAAACAGCGCUCCACACGGCGGUCGAUACAGAGGAGGGGAUCGGUCAUGGUUUCAUCGGUGACAGAGGAAUCAAGGUGCGCGUGAUGCAAGCGACGCGUUCGAUCGAUCCAGCCGACGCGGGCGAUCUGGAUCGAGCUGUCGUGCGAGAGGGGAUCCAGUUGACGAACGCGUUGCGCGUGACUCGGUGGGCGCUCGAUCCAGGCGACACCGUCGAUUGGGUUUCGAGGGAGAAACGGAAGGGAUACGAUCGAUAAAGGCCGACGCCUCAGCUGAUCGAAAUUGCUCCACGAGACUUGAAUCAUACUUCAGUUUCUGAGCGCACAUUCAUGGCGGGUGAUGUGCCGAUCCUUCAGGCUGCCUAUGGGGUACAGAGGUGAUGUUCAGGCUGUCCCUACUCGAUUGAUUUGGGUGCAUCUUGGAGCUUGGUACUGGGAUUCUCUAUUCAGCAGUUCGUAAUCUGAAAUGGCUUUUAUACAGGUGCGGAGUGAGCGGGACGAUUAGUUUGAUACUUCCGCGUCCCAAGUGUGGGUAAAGGAGGACGGUUGAGAUAAGCCUGGUACGUGUUUCUCUAUUGAUGCUUAAGUGAUAUUCAAGAAAAUGAUGCAUGAGCAAGUCACACUCAGUCGUCUUACCAGCCAGUCAGUAUCCUACAGUCUCUUCAGUCUUAUUUUAUUUUUAUUUAUGUGUUGUUUUAGAUAGGCGUAUGUUACAUAUAUAGUCAAAUGAAAUUCUCAUGCGUGAUCUCCAUAUUUUCUUCUAAUGCAUUAAUCUGUAGUUUACUUUUCGUUUUCUGCCUAGAUUAACUGACAUAUAUUUUGCAUGUUGUGCUUAAUAGUCGAAAACAAAGAUAAAACAACAAAUAUAGGACCAUCAUCCAUUUUGAAGCAAUCUUUGUACUACAGUGCCAGUUCAAACUUGUACUUGAAACAUGAGAAUGGGUGCAAGCAGUCGUUAAAGCGCUCUCAUUUUUUCAGUGUUGUACAAUGUCCUUACAAUUUUGUAGCCAAUGAUCUUAACUAACUAUGCAUUCUUUAUAUAUAGAUGCUAUGUUUGUUAUCA